rnacentral:rRNA from 1 species
GACAGCAGUCGCCACGGUAAUACGAAGGGGGCUAGCGUUGUUCGGAUUUACUGGGCGUAAAGGGCGCGUAGGCGGACUGAUAAGUCAGGGGUGAAAUCCCAAGGCUCAACCUUGGAACUGCCUUUGAUACUGUUUGUCUUGAGUUCGAGAGAGGUAAGUGGAACUGCGAGUGUAGAGGUGAAAUUCGUAGAUAUUCGCAAGAACACCAGUGGCGAAGGCGGCUUACUGGCUCGAAACUGACGCUGAGGCGCGAAGGCGUGGGGAGCAAACAGGAUUAGAGACCCCAGUAGUCCCUGUCUCUUAUAC